CACGGUCACCUUUUGUGUCCAACUCUGCUCUGAGGUCAGGCAGACCAGAUGACAGCUCCCUACAUCAGCGCUGGCACAUGGUCAGGAUCAGUCUGCUUUAGUGGCGUGCUCUUUGGGUCAUAUUACAGCACACCAUAAUUUUGCAGUAACCACUGUUAAGGAGUACCAUGCUACUUACCUCUACAGGCAGCAAUGCAGAGCUCUGGCACAUCGUGGCUUUUGAAAAAAGUGGAUAUUCAUGAAGUGUUUGAGAAGAACCAUAAAUCCAUGCUUCAUGAAGAAUCUCUUACGGGGGCUCUCUCAUGUUAUGAGACAGACAAGGACAAAGCCGGACCACUGGCUGUUUUGAAGCCAUGUGUGUACUGUGACAGGCUGUACAACAGGUGGUUACUCAUGCGACAUUUUGAUGCUGACAUCAGCAAGCUGUCAAAGCUAUCAAGGGCACUGGAACUGAUUGAUAACAGCAGAACCUCAUUUCUAUACCAGAAUGUCUCUGCUUUACUGUCUACAGCAGGAGGAAAAGAAUCAGCACCACUACCUCACUGGCCACCCUGAUGGGGAAGACUCAUCUGAAAGUAAGCAGGCACUGAGAGGAUCAACAGAUGUGAGUCCCCAGCUCUGGCUGCUGUUGGAGAUGAGGGGAGAGAUAAAUAUCAUGCAGCUGCUUCAUAAAAAUAAGCUGGAUUCUUCCGAAAAGGAGUCGCCAACCACAGUAAUCUCAUUUACAUUGUGGUCUCCAGAGAAGUCCUUCUCAGAGUUCUGAGACUUAUGCAGUACUUUUACUCCUUGCUGCUAUCUGCUGAAUAUGAAAUCAUAAGGAUGUGUCACUAUGUUUAAGGAUGUCACGCAGAAAAGGAACUUCCCUGAAUCUGACACGUGAUGACAGUUACUCUUACCAACUUUGCAAAUUACUGCAUGAAGAAGAGAAAAAGAUUGAGCAUGUGUACACAUGUUGUUUCUGCUAGGAGUCACUGAUGAGCUUAGUAAUCAGGCUUGUUCCAUUGUGAAUCAUAACUGCUGACUCACUGUCAGGACAAUAUAUACUUUGGGUCAGCCACACAAUCUGGAAAUGGGAUAGAAGAAUGUGUCUUUGCAACAGGAGACCGGUAGAUUGCUGUCAGCAUCUUUCUGAACUGGCUGAGCUUCUCCACUUCUGCUGGACAUCGUGCCGAGUUGGCACAACUGAGAAAAUCCUUAAAAGUACCUAUGAAUUAAGGACUUUGGGAUCUAAAGACGUCCAUCAGUGUACCUAAAAAGCCUAAACAGAACCUGUAAAUUUCAAAGCGUUUUAACUUGUGACAGUAUUGGUGAUUAAAGAGAUAAGAGGAAAGCCAUGCGGCUAAGUAGCCACUCUUGGAUCGUGAAAUUCACAGCUCAUGUAAAACCAGACAGUGCUGACAGGGAAAACACAAACCACUGGCUCCCUUUUGAAAUCAGUCCUUGAUCUUUCUGCCAUCUUCUGUGGUAAACACAAUUAAAUUAUCUCCAUGUUUAAGCUACAGAAGCUAAGGCAGAUAGUUCAAGUGAUCUGACCAAAGCCUCUUAGGCACAGAAUUCACAGAUUGAGGCCUUGUUUAUUCCAGGUUGUCUCUCAUGUUACUGACUCAUGUAUGACACACUCGUCUUUGUCGCUAAGGGUAUACUACAGCAGGAAUGAGCUGGAUGGAUGUCCUUCUAGCCCUCGCUUGCCCUCAGUGGCAGUCCAGGGGAACACAGCUGUGCAAAGGUGCCAGGGUCCCCUGAGGACACACAAAAUUCAACGUCCCUGUCAUUACAGAUCUCAGCACUAAGGAAGGGGCUGUAAGUAACUGCCCAUCUUUUGAGAGAGGCAAUCACAAUUAGUCUCAAUGACCUGUUUUCCUGGUCAAUGAAAUGGCUGAAAACAAAAGGACUACAAUCUCUCUUUUCCUUAAAUUGAGAAUUAAUUGAGACAAGGUGCUUUGGGUUCUCCACUGAGUUGCAAUUUUAUACCAGUGGGAUCUGGACGUUCCAAGACUUGGGGAGCACAACUGCGACAAAAACUGUCCCAAAUGCUUAAUAUAUUGGACAGGUAAUUUCAAUACUGAAAUUACAGGAGAUAUCUUUGUCAAGAUGUUUUCCUUUCUUUGUCACAUCCCUGAAGUAAUCAAAACCUUAGGAGCACUGAUCUCGUACUCUCGCUGCAGCUGAGAUGGAGCUUACACUUUUCUGUUUCUCUGAGUCCUGGAUCUGGUCAGGAACUGGGCAGCUUUUAUGAAAGACUAUAAAAGCAUGGAGAGAAGUACUCUGAAGUACAAAUUUCAUCUUUCUUUCACUAUACACCUCCAUAUGUGGGAGGAGCUGACUUGGAACCAGUUAUGCUAGUUUUCUACCAUUUCUCUUAGUAGUUUAUGAGGAAUGAGGCGUGUAAGUAUAAUAAUUUAUAGAUAUUAUAUACAGACAAGUUAAUCUGUUUGGUACUAUUCUGAUAGAAACUAGAAGAGAUCACUGAAAGAAAUCAAGAAUAAAGGGAAUAGGAGAUAAAAAUGCAGUCGAAAGCUCUCCAUUGUUCUUCUAGGAAGAAUAAUAAUCAGGCAAGGCUAAUGAUGCUGUUGUGGCUUGGCCCUCCAAAAUCUGAGGCCAGGAUCAAAAGGGAUCAUAAAAGACAAUCAGGUGAAAAUUUCCACAACUAUUAAAGAAAAGAUUUGGGUUAGUUGUCAUAACCAAGGACUCCUGACAAGUCCUGAAAAGCAUGCAGGAAAUCAGACAGACAGACAUGAAUUACAGCAGGCUAGAUGUCUCUCCCAAAUCAGAGACAGCUUCACUGGAAAUAUCCUACACGAGCUUCAUGGCAAAAUAAGUUGAUAUUUAGUUCUAAUGGUUGUAUGUACCUUAGUGAAUAAUACUUCACUUUGAAGGAACUAUGUCUGAAAUGCUUUAAUCAUCCAUUAUCGCUGGCUUCUGGAGUACAGCUGGUACACGCAUAACAUGGCCUGGCUUUUUGGAGUUAAAACAGGUGUCACAGACUGCAAACAGGUCAACUGCCGCAGACAGAUUUGAUGUCAGAUGACUACACGGCUCAGUCUGUACAGGGACAACACAAAGAAACACCAGUUCUUAAGGGUCUUGCUGAGGAAGGUCUAAAGCAUCACUUCCAUACACACGAACAAGACAUCUCAUGCAGGGCAAGUUUUGCCUGCUUUCAUGUGACUGUUUAUCAUUAAGGUGAAGGAUCUGCAUGCCAUACUGAAAAAUUCUUCCUUCUGUGUGACAUACAGAAUUAUAAUUUGAAUCGCGACUAAUACCCAUAUUGAAUAGUUUGAUUCUAUGGCUAUAAUGGGAAACAACAGAAAACAAAUAACAAAAAAAAUAAAAACAAAUACCCUUUAACUUCAAAGGAUUUGAUAUCCAUAGCAGAAUACUUUGCUGUUUGGGUCCACCUUCCAAAUUCAAAUUCAAAUUCUGUUUCACCCUAAGAUCCCACAGCUCCCUAACACGGCACUAUAAGCUACAGAGUAUAAACACACUCUCCUCCCAGACCACUGCAAAGCGUAAUCCACACCAAGAAAACAAAAUCACACCUUCAACAAAUCUCAAAUUAUUACAAGUAAACAGGCACAGUCCUAGUAUACACACAGCUAUUUGCACAGGCUUAAUUAUAGAACAUGCCUUGAUAAGUCAUAAUUAUUGUUAUUGUAUUCAUCUUAGGAGCUUGUUUUCUGAGGCAAAAGAGGCAGGACAGCAGAUCCUGAAGGCGGUAAGUAUAUGGCAUAUGGCACCAGAACGGUUUACUACAUAAAAGAAUGGUCACUGUCUUGAUCCAAUAACCCAGC
rnacentral:lncRNA from 1 species